GCCGGGUGUGGUGGCUCACGCCUGUAAUCCCAGCACUUUGGGAGGCUGAGGUGGGUGGAUCACCUGAGGUCGGGAGUUUGAGACCAGCCUGACCAACAUGGAGAAAUCCCGUCUCUA
ensembl:misc_RNA Metazoa_SRP Metazoan signal recognition particle RNA